CUCCACAUCCAGCGACGCUGCCCUCGACGCGACGCACGCGAGGGAACCGGCGGUGAAGGGGAUCUAGCGCUCGAGGGAGCCGAUGCGGCGCGCGCGAGUGAGCCGGCGGCCCAGGGAAUCCAGCCAACGCGAGUCGCGAGGCGCGCGAGAGAUCCACCGCUAGAGGGCCGCCUGCGCGGGAUGCGGCUGAAUCCGACGCCGGUCGAUCCAGCCGCUUCGGGCGAUCUUCCUGCGACAAAGAAAGGUGGGGAUGCUGGUGAUAAUGGCCGAUGCCACAUCUACUGGAAACUGCUCCGCUCAGACUUCAAGCAACCAAUUAUACUUCAGUUUCUAAGCGCGCAUUCAUGGCGGGUGAUGUGUCGACCCUUUCCUCUUCCGAGUGGUACGUGUACAUAUGCCUCGGUUCCACGACGGCCGAUAUAACCAUGGUGACAGCACGACAGCGGACUGAGGAGGAUGAGGCAGCAUCACCGGCUCGACGAUGCAGAGUAGGGUAAGGAAGGAGGCAACAUAUGUGCCUCACUUGUGCAAGAGGAUGUGGCGGCAGCAGUAUUAGUUAUUGGUCUAAGUCGACCAGGUAAACCUUAAUGCUAGCUCUGCUCCUUCCUUUAUCUCUGACUGUGAUGCCCUUUGUAAUUCGCCCUUCUCAUGUUCAUCUUGUCGGUCGCGUGUUUUCAAGGUUCAGGGCUAGGAUCUGCAUGGUGUGCGUAGCUCCUGCUUGUUGAAUUUGUGGUAUAGUUGUCGUUUUUAUAAGUACCAUUUUAAUCUGCUCAACAGUCACCGGAUGAUUAUUAUAAGACCUCUAUUUUACAAUUCUGCUUCUUUGUAGUAGUAUUACUUGGUGAGCACUUACUUUUUGUGAAAGGAGAAGAGCAAAGCUAAUGAGAAUGCAGAAACCGGCUCAUAUGCUGCAGGAAUCGCAGACCUAAAAACACAAUGUUGUCAUGGGCUUCAUGGAUCUGGAAGUAUUGAUAUUGAUGGUUCCAAGGGAUGAAAAAGUGCUAAUUGUUUUUCUCUGUAUCGUCCGAGCUAAUGCCAACUGAUUGUUGAACAAUGCUUUGAAAAAAACAAUUUAGGGAACUUUUCAUACCCUUUCUAACUGAGUUACUAAUAUGUGAAAACCAAGUGCAACCUCUUAUGAAUCUUGGAAGAAAUGAUAUUCACCGUAUUUGUAUA